rfam:Danio rerio chromosome 4, GRCz11 reference primary assembly.
GGCACUGUGGCUUAGUUGGUCAAAGCGUCUGUCUAGUAAACAGGAGAUCCUGGGUUUGAAUCCCAGCAGUGCCU